UUAAAAUCCAGAGAUUUGGCCAUAUGGAUGUUUAAUUUACUUGUGGUGCACCACCCCAAUAUAUAUAUAUAUAUAUAUAUAUAUAUAUAUAUAUAUGUGUGUGUGUGUGUGUGUGUGUGUGUGUGUGUCUGUCUGUCUGUCUGGUAGGACCUCUGGUUGAA